GACGAACGCUGGCGGCGUGCCUAAUACAUGCAAGUCGAGCGAGCUUGCCUAGAUGAUUUUAGUGCUUGCACUAAAUGAAACUAGAUACAAGCGAGCGGCGGACGGGUGAGUAACACGUGGGUAACCUGCCCAAGAGACUGGGAUAACACCUGGAAACAGAUGCUAAUACCGGAUAACAACACUAGACGCAUGUCUAGAGUUUGAAAGAUGGUUCUGCUAUCACUCUUGGAUGGACCUGCGGUGCAUUAGCUAGUUGGUAAGGUAACGGCUUACCAAGGCAAUGGUGCAUAGCCGAGUUGAGAGACUGAUCGGCCACAUUGGGACUGAGACACGGGCCCAAACUCCUACGGGAGGCAGCAGUAGGGAAUCUUCCACAAUGGACGAAAGUCUGAUGGGGCAACGCCGCGUGAGUGAAGAAGGGUUUCGACUCGUAAAG
rnacentral:rRNA from 1 species